rnacentral:rRNA from 1 species
UACGUAGGUGGCAAGCGUUGUCCGGAUUUAUUGGGUUUAAAGGGUGCGUAGGUGGUCAAUUAAGUCAGUGGUGAAAUACGGCAGCUCAACUGUCGAGGUGCCAUUGAUACUGGUUGACUUGAGUACUGAUGAGGUAGGCGGAAUGGACGGUGUAGCGGUGAAAUGCUUAGAGAUCGUCCAGAACACCGAUAGCGAAGGCAGCUUACUAAGGAGUAACUGACACUGAGGCACGAAAGUGUGGGGAUCAAACAGG